rnacentral:piRNA from 1 species
UGUAAUCAAUCCUACCCUUGGGAAUUGGAGG